rnacentral:rRNA from 1 species
UUGAUCCUGGCUCAGGACGAACGCUGGCGGCGUGCCUAAUACAUGCAAGUCGAGCGAGCCGAACUAAUUGAUUACCUUCGGGUAUGAAGUUAGGGAAGCGAGCGGCGGAUGGGUGAGUAACACGUGGGUAACCUACCCUAUAGUCUGGGAUACCACUUGGAAACAGGUGCUAAUACCGGAUAAAAGGAGAGAUCACAUGAUUUCUUUUUGAAAGGCGGCGUAAGCUGUCGCUAAAGGAUGGACCCGCGGUGCAUUAGCUAGUUGGUAAGGUAACGGCUUACCAAGGCAACGAUGCAUAGCCGAGUUGAGAGACUGAUCGGCCACAUUGGGACUGAGACACGGCCCAAACUCCUACGGGAGGCAGCAGUAGGGAAUCUUCCACAAUGGACGCAAGUCUGAUGGAGCAACGCCGCGUGAGUGAAGAAGGUUUUCGGAUUCGUAAAGGCUUCUGUUGUUGGUGAAGAAAAGAUAGUGAGAGUAACUGCUCAUUAUUUGCCGGUAAUCAACCAGAAAGUCACGGCUAACUACGUGCCAGCAGCCGCGGUAAUACGUAGGUGGCAAGCGUUGUCCGGGAUUUAUUGGGCGUAAAGCGAGCGCAGGCGGAAAGAUAAGUCAGAUGUGAAAGCCCUCGGCUUAACCGAGGAAUAGCAUCGGAAACUGUCUUUCUUGAGUGCAGAAGAGGAGAGUGGAACUCCAUGUGUAGCGGUGGAAUGCGUAGAUAUAUGGAAGAACACCAGUGGCGAAGGCGGCUCUCUGGUCUGUAACUGACGCUGAGGCUCGAAAGCAUGGGUAGCGAACAGGAUUAGAUACCCUGGUAGUCCAUGCUGUAAACGAUGAGUGCUAAGUGUUGGGAGGUUUCCGCCUCUCAGUGCUGCAGCUAACGCAUUAAGCACUCCGCCUGGGGAGUACGACCGCAAGGUCAAAACUCAAAGGAAUUGACGGGGGCCCGCACAAGCGGUGGAGCAUGUGGGUUUAAUUCGAAGCAACGCGAAGAACCUUUACCAGGUCUUGACAUCUAGUGCCAACCUAAGAGAUUAGGCGUUCCCUUCGGGGACACUAAGACAGGUGGUGCAUGGCUGUCGUCAGCUCGUGUCGUGAGAUGUUUGGGUAAGUCCCGCAACGAGCGCAACCUUAAUUAUUAGUUGCAGGCAUAGUUGGGCACCUCUUAAUGGGAGAACCUCGCCGGGUGACAAACCGGAGGAAGGUGGGGAUGACGUCAAGUCAUCAUGCCCCUUAUGACCUGGGCUACACACGUGCUACAAUGGGCAGUACAACGAGGAGCGAACUUGUGAAGGCAAGCGAAUCUCUGAAAGCUGUUCUCAGUUCGGACUGUAGGCUGCAACUCGCCUACACGAAGCUGGAAUCGCUAGUAAUCGCGGAUCAGCACGCCGCGG